rnacentral:miRNA from 1 species
UCUCGGAAGCUAAGCAGGGUCGGGCCUGGUUAGUACUUGGAUGGCUUUACCGCCUGGGAAUACCGGGUGCUGUAGGCUUUUUG